UUCUCUCUGCCAUGUUCGUGAGGUUAAAACGCCCCAGCGGAACAUUUGAACAAUCGGGGGUCUCUUCCAUCCGUGGUGUGCUGCCCCAUUAUGCGGGAUUUGCCUGAAGCGGCUCAGAGACGCCCACCUGUGAAGGAACUCGCUGUGAGGCCCUUCAAACCAACGGCAUGGUGGAGAGAAU
rnacentral:other from 1 species